UACGUAGGGUGCGAGCGUUAAUCGGAAUUACUGGGCGUAAAGCGUGCGCAGGCGGUUUUGUAAGCCAGAUGUGAAAGCCCCGGGCUCAACCUGGGAAUGGCAUUUGGGACUGCAAGGCUGGAGUUUGGCAGAGGAGACUGGAAUUCCCGGUGUAGCGGUGAAAUGCGUAGAUAUCUGGAGGAACACCGGUGGCGAAGGCGGCGUCCUGGACCAACACUGACACUGAUGAGCGAAAGCCAGGGGAGCAAACGGG
rnacentral:rRNA from 1 species